GGAGUGGACCGGGCAGUCGCUGGCCCCUUGCCGUAACGGCAGCGGGCGGGAGGAAAGUCCGGGCUCCACAGGACAGGGUGGUGGGUAACUCCCACCGGCUGAAAGGCCAGGGCAAGUGCAACAGAAAGGAAACCGCCUCACCUUAGUGAGGUAAGGGUGAAACGGUGCGGUAAGAGCGCACCAGCAGGUCGGGUGACCGACUUGGCUAGGUAAACCCCACCCGGAGCAAUGCCAAACAGAAAGCAGUUUCCCAAUGCGGGAAC
rnacentral:RNase_P_RNA from 1 species